AGAGUUUGAUCCUGGCUCAGGAUGAACGCUGGCGGCGUGCCUAACACAUGCAAGUCGAACGAUGUUCGUAAGGACAUAGUGGCGCACGGGUGAGGAACACGUAGCUGACCUGCCUCAGAGUGCGGGAUAACGCCCCGAAAGGGUGCUAAUACCGCGUAAGCUCACGGAGUUUAGAAGCCUGUGAGAAAAGGCCUUCGGGUCGCCUUGAGAGGGGGCUGCGGCGCAUCAGGUAGUUGGUGGGUAACGGCCUACCAAGCCAACGACGCGUAGGGGGUCUGAGAGGAUGAUCCCCCACACUGGGACUGAGACACGGCCCAGACUCCUACGGGAGGCAGCA
rnacentral:rRNA from 1 species